rnacentral:miRNA from 12 species
AGCCACUGCCCAUCGCACACUG